UGUACUAGUGAUUAUAAUUGUAUUUGGUAUAUACUGAUAGAAAAGGAGAAAUUGUAUCGAUGAACAUUGUAAUUGAAGAUCACACUCAGAAAAUCAUAACAACCUUGUUUUAAUCUUGGAAAAGUAGGAGGUACAUGUACAUAAACAGAACAGGAAAAUACACAAUCUGAUAUUACAAACUUGAAAUCAAUACUAAAGCCUUCUCCAGAAGUAAUAAUUAGUUCAUUACAAUUCAUUUAGAUAGGCAAGUUUCUAAUUUACCAUUCUACAGUUUUUCCUUAUCUCUCCAUCUUGGCUUGUAAGAACACCAAUGUUUCCCAUCUUGACCAUAGAGAUACCAAAAUCUCUGGAGAAAAGGAAAGGGAAUUUGCUAUAGUUCAUGACAAGUGAAGCAGUGAUAUUGUCGNAUUGGGGUUCAAUCUUUAAUAAUA
rnacentral:lncRNA from 1 species